UGUUAUCUCCCUAGUCUCUGGUUAGGAGAAAGUUUCUCCCCUGUUAAGGGGAACUACGUAGCCUUGAUUCUCAUACCAGAUGAGAUACGUAGGCAGGAGAUUGAGCGAGAUCUCUCCGGGCGCCCUUUUUCUUUUUUCGCCCUUUUGUUUUUUUUAGUGUGUUCAACUUUUUGUUUCCUGUUUUGUUUUGUGGAGUUAGAUGUAAGACCAUUGAUUGGCUAUCUGUUUCCUAUUUUGUUUGAGGAGUUAGAUGUAAGACCAUUGAUUGGCUAUUUGUUUCCUGUUUUGUUUGAGGAGUUAGAUGUAAGACCAUUGAUUGGCUAUCUGUUUCCUGUUUUGAUUUGUGGAGUUAGAUGUAAGACCAUUGAUUGGCUUUCUGUUUCCCGUUUGUUUUUGGAGUUGGAUGCAA
rnacentral:lncRNA from 1 species